rnacentral:sRNA from 1 species
AUGAGAGGAUGUUGAGAGGUUUGAAUUGAAUCAUUCUCUCUACUACCAGCAUGAUGCUGAUGUGAGAGAGCUCUUUUACCUCAGUGAUCUAACUCUCUCUUUAUUAUAGAGAAAUCAACUUUUCCAUGCAAAAUGCACUGUAACAUAACCUCAUGUGGCCCCGGUUGCUGAAUGGGUAAUGGCAACAGAGAUGUGAUUUUUAAUAUUGGGUUCUUUCUAAAUAUGUCAAUGACAUUUUGCAAUUGCUCUUCGGUGUAAUUGAAAGAUUUAGACAUGAUGGUGAUGAUUAAUGAAUAUUUAAGAAUGAG